rnacentral:lncRNA from 1 species
UGACAUCUAGCAGUAUGUAAGGACAAUACAAUAGAACUGAAAUGAAUCUCUUGGUGUAGUUAAUAUAUGAUUCAAUCUCUCUAUCGUGAGUCCCGAUUUGAUGGUAGGUCAUGGAUAAAUCGUCAAACCUUAUAAUCAGUCAUAUGAUAGAUUCGAUUAGCUCAAGUCCAGUUGUGACUUCUAUAGAAACUCUUUUCCAUCAAUCACACUGCUAUGGCUACAGACUCUUGGAUUUAACUCUCAAAU